rnacentral:rRNA from 1 species
GUCUUUUAGAUUUUAAUUUAAAGUCUAACCUGCCCCCUGAAUUUUUAAAUGGCCGCAGUAUUUUGACUGUGCAAAGGUAGCAUAAUAAUUAGUUUCUUAAUUAGGGACUGGAAUGAAAGGUUGAACGAAAAAAUAUCUGUCUUUAUUUUAAUUAGUUAGAAUUUUAUUUUUAAGUUAAAAAGCUUAAAUUUUUUUAAAAGACGAGAAGACCCUAUAGAGUUUUAUUAAUAUAAUUUUAUUAUAAAAAAUUGAAUUUUUGAGUUAUUAAAAUUAAAUUAAUUUAGUUGGGGUGAUUGUGAAAUUUAUUAAACUUUUAUUUUAUGCAAACAUAAAUUUAUGAUGUAUUGAUCCAUAUAAAUGAUUAUAAGAUUAAAUUACCUUAGGGAUAACAGCGUAAUUUCUUUGGAGAGUUCUUAUCAAUAAAGGAGAUUGCGACCUCGAUGUUGGAUUAAAAUUAAUUUUUGGUGUAGAAGCUAAAAAAUUAAGUCUGUUCGACUUUUAAAAUUUUACA